ensembl:lncRNA
AAAGACAUUAUCUUUUUUAUUAUCAUAAAUAUUUCUGAAACAUAAGAACUACAGUUUCUACUACAUCAUCACAUAACAAAUCCUGGAGAUAGAUCAGUCGCUUAUACAAGAUGCUAAUGUAACUGCCUUGCAGUUAUGAAAGUUUAGGUUAUCUGCUUCCUCUACCAAGGAGUUUACAAUGUUUGACCCUAAGCCUUUAAGCGGCUAUACAGGUGAGCAACAUUCCUCAUAGCAUUGAAAUGCUUAAAUUCUAUUUUAUAUAUCUGUAAGUCAGAUAUGCAAAUCUCAAGGUAAGGGUCUAAAAAUAUCCUAGAAUAAAACAAAAUAACCUCCUCCCCUCUAGCUCUCCCUCUCUCCCCACAUAAAGCACGCGCACGCACACACACACACACACACACACAAAAAAAAAAAAAAAAAACAACUGCAACCUUGAGCUGUAAAUAGCUACAAUACAUAACAAAGGUCUGUGGUUUGUCACAUGCCUAGCUAGUUCUGUUUUCCUGGGAAGCUGUAUGCUGUCCUCAGGAUUCACUGUACUAUCUGCAGGUAUUUUAAAGUUAUAGCUCAUUUGUCUUAUUCCCCAACACCCCUUUCUCAUUUGCACGAUAAGUACAUUUCUCUUCUUCUUGAUAAUGCUUCAGUAUUUUUGACUCACGUUAGUCAUUCUUGUUGAGGUUACUGAAUCUCAUGACUAAGAGAACUCAGAUUAGGCUAAAAAUAACAAAAUACAACAGUAAUUACUAAGAAAGUAAUUAACAUUUACAGAUUUUUCACUCGUUUUUAUGUGCACUGUAAUUUGCUUUGCUUCAGCAAAUCCAGAUGUACUUGGGACCAUUCUAGAAUAUUUACUUCCAAUAAAAAUACUGGAUUCCUGCAGUAUACUGUAGUACACAGGACAGUGAGCAUGAAUUGUACAUACCAUCAGUUUUGUUUUAAAGAAAAAUAAAUAAAAGAAUUAUAAAAGCUGAACAGAAAUACAAUUUUCUAGUAGAGACAUUUGUGAACUUUUCUUUUUAUUUUUUUUUUGGGGGGGGGGGGGGGUGUUGAAAAGUACUGUAAUUAUCAAUAAAAGGUAUUACACUUUCAAUGAAAUAAAUGCGUGUAUGUAUUUAUAUUGAGAAGAUUUAAGUGGAUUUAAUAUCCACUAUUAGAAAUCUACCCUUGAGUCCUUUCCAAGCCUAAAUAUGUUUUUGACAGAUUUGAUCCCUUGCCUAUAAAGGAAGGGUUACAAGAUUAAAGUUGCAAAGGGUUGCAACAAUAGUGCAAAUUUAAGUCAGUAUUGUUGAACUAGAGCUACUAGAAUAGCUUUCUGCUCAACAUUAAAUCAAUCAGGAUUCAAGUUAAGUGUCAAGACUACCCAGAGAUUUUGUGUUGUCAGAAUUCAGUCCUGAACCAGUUGUAUUCACUAAUGCAACCUGAAUAAAGACAAAAACUGAGAGCAGUGUAGGUAUUGUUGCUAUCCCUGCUGUUCUAUUACCAUUUUCCAUUACUUUGUCUUUAGAAAUACAUAGCUAUUUCUUGGUGAAAUGUUUAUUAUAAUUAUCAAUGUGUUAACAUAAUUAAUUAUAUACAUUAUGCAAUAACAUAAUUAUGUUCUUACCUAUCCCUAUUCUAACCAAAGGUAGCUGAAAUUAAUAUUAUAAUAGAGAUUCAGGCCUCAUUCAAAAACUAGAAACACAUAGAUCCAUACAUUCUUUAAAAGCAAAGAUGAUGCUGAUUCUAGAAAAACAAAGAAAUAGUAAUUUUCAAUGCAAAACUAAAUAGUGAGAAAAAUAUGGCUGAUCUAAGGGGAAGUACUCAAAGAAACUCAUGUACCAGCCACUUGCAAUUUCAUGUAUUUGCUCACAAUAAAAGAAAUUAAUGGAGGAGAAAAAUGAACUAGCUUACUGCAUAGUACCCAGUAGCUGCUCCCAGGUGAGGGAGCUGAAGUAAAGAGAUCUGAUGAAAGGCAAAGAUGAAGACAUCAACGGAUACAGUAAAUACAGUAGAUUAAUUAUUGUCCUCAUAUUCUUUCUGUGGUAUUUCAACUACACCAAAGUAAAUGUCAAGGCAGUUGGUGAUAGGAGAGGAAACGAGAAUUACUGAGGGAGCAUCUAAUGCCUAGAACAUAAUCUUGCCACGUUCCACUAUUUUUCCCCCAUGUAAAGCGAUGAUUCAAAGAGAAAAUGUGCACAGCUUAACUCAUAACAUCUACACCUAUAACAUAACAAAAGAUUUUGAAGUCCAACAUCUAAAAACAGGGACAAAAAGAAUCCCGCAGUAGUAAAUAUAGCAGUCAUUUUCAAAUAUUUUUUUACACAUAAUAAGGCACCAAAGACUUUUUAUCCUUUUUUUUUUUUUUUUUGACCUCCCAUGAUGUAAUUUCCUGUCAAAGGUUUCUGUUAUUAACUGCAUUAAACUUGGUGAAAGGGGACUCUAUGUUCUUUUUUUUAUCUUUACAUCUUUAUUGAAUUUUCCUUUUUUUCUUUUUACUGACAGCUAGUAUUUACUAUUUCCCCCAUUUUUAGUCCUUGCUAUGAGGGUAGUCACAGCCUUUCAUAAAAAUCAUGAAUUAUGUUUAAUUAAUAAAGACACUAAAUAAGAUAGCAACUGAUAAAUGAAAUCAUCACUGUUAUUUACUUUAAUAAGCCCAAAAUAAACAAUCUUUGAGGAGAUCAAAAAAUGACAAUAACUCUGAUUGAAUAAUAAGUCUAUUAUAAUAAGUUGACAUGAGGGUAGCCUGCCCUACAAUAAUUUUUUAAAACUAGGAAAAACUGAGGCUGAAAUUCACUUGCAAGAAUGUCUUAACUAGCAUCUCCACAAUGAUAAUGCAAAUCUUAUCUCUCCUCUUUUCUUAUAGAUUAAGUUACAUCUUGCGCAAAAAGGUGCCAAAUCCUUAAAAAACUGCAUAAUAUACAGAGUAUGAACAGUAUCACAAAUUGGUAUUAUGUUCUGUAACACCUCUCAGCCUCUGGUUUAAAUUAAAAGUAGGGGCAAACGCAUUAGUUUCAUCACCUGACUAUUAUGUCGUAUUCCACAAUGAUUAUUUCAGUUUAGAUAAAAUCACUUUCUCAUCCUUGCAAAAAGAAAAUAUAUUUAUUCCCUGUGCCAAGCUUUUCACAGACUUUCUGCACCAACUGUAAUGUAAUUAUUUGAUGAUACAUACAAUAAAUGCAACAGCUUAGAAGUCAGAGAGAGGGUAUUUAAAAAGCAUGAGAGACUUUUAAAUAGUGUUAGGCUUUUCUUUCUAAAACAACAGAAACCCAGCAAAGCAGUAGAGUGCAUGUGUAACUGAGGUAUCAUAGACAGUCAUCAUAGCUCUUUGAAGACCCAUGGAACUUAGUGAUUUUAUCUUCUUAACAUCGAUUUGAGAGCACUGAGAUCCUCUAAUGUGGAAGAAAACACUGUGAAAUGGUCAACACUGAUGUACAGGAAAAGUGAAAUCAAAUUUAAUUUUAUUCAGGUCAUAUGUUGGAGUAGUAAAGUGCAGCAUAUGAUCAUGUGAAAUACUGAUGCAAGAUAAUUUGAUUCAGUGCAGAUAUGAAAUCUAAAGGCUGCUGUUUUCACGAAGACAUAUCCUAAACAGACUGUAAGUGACAACAAAACUCAGUUCUCAUCCAGGAAGUUCCAGUACUUCGUCAGAAAAAAAAACAAUAUCAAACAAGUCAAAUCAGAUCCUAAUUUUUUGGCAGUAAACAGAUCUAAGGCAAGUCAUUCACGCAGGUGAUGUGUUGCAUCUUCAGAUACAGAUAUCAAAUAAAUACAAUACUACAAAUGGCCUACCAUUCCAUAAAAAUGAAAUACUUGUUACUAUGUCUAUGUUACUACACCCUUGAUAAUAGGUACACUCUCUUUUAUGUACAGUGUAGUACAUUCAGCUGGACUUUUACAACCUAUGGUGAAAAGAUUCCUUCAUACAAAAAACUGAUGACCAUGUGUGACACGCUGAUCUAUUCAGUUUUCACCAAGAUGGACUCUAGUAAAAGACUAGCAAAGCUAGCUAGUAGUAACCUGUAAUGCUAACACCUCUCUAUAUUGUUCAGUAAAGUUAACAUCAAACAUGCUACAGAAAAGUAUGUGGACUAAUUUUAAGCUCAAGAUCUACAAAAAAUUGGUUAAAUCAGCUGACAAAUACUAUUCACUCACAAUAAUUUAUGAUAAGUUCUGUAAAACACUACAAGCAGAAAGUUCUGCUUAUAGAAAUACACCACACUGUUGCAAGUAGUCAUGUGAUACUGUUGUGAUAUUACUCAAGGGCAAUUUACAAAUCAUAUUCCAGAUUUAAGUCAUAGAUCAUUCUAUACUGUGGUCAGAAGAUUUAGACACGACCUUCCAUGCUAAAAAUCAUAGAGUAGUAGAAUGGGUAUGGUUAGAAGGGACC